rnacentral:rRNA from 1 species
GAUGAACGCUGGCGGCGUGCUUAACACAUGCAAGUCGAACGAAGCAUCUUUUAUGAAGUUUUCGGAUGGAUUAAGAAAUGACUUAGUGGCGGACGGGUGAGUAACGCGUGGGUAACCUGCCUCAUACAGCGGGUUAACAGUUGGAAACGACUGCUAAGACCGCAUAAGCCUACAGUGCCGCAUGGUACAGGAGGAAAAAAUUUAUUGGUAUGAGAUGGACCCGCGUCUGAUUAGCUAGUUGGUGAGGUAACGGCCCACCAAGGCGACGAUCAGUAGCCGACUUGAGAGAGUGAUCGGCCACAUUGGGACUGAGACACGGCCCAAACUCCUACGGGAGGCAGCAGUGGGGAAUAUUGCACAAUGGGGGAAACCCUGAUGCAGCGACGCCGCGUGAGUGAAGGAGUAUUUCGGUAUGUAAAGCUCUAUCAGCAGGGAAGAUAAUGACGGUACCUGACUAAGAAGCCCCGGCUAACUACGUGCCAGCCGCCGCCGUAA